UACGUAGGUGGCAAGCGUUGUUCGGAUUUACUGGGUGUAAAGGGCGCGUAGGCGGGAGAGCAAGUCAGAUGUGAAAUUUCCGGGCUUAACCCCGGCGCUGCAUCUGAAACUGGUAUUCUUGAGUGUCGGAGAGGGAAGUGGAAUUCCUAGUGUAGCGGUGAAAUGCGUAGAGAUUGGGAGGAACACCUGUGGUGUAGGCGGCGUUCUGGACGAUUACUGACGCUGAGGCGCGAAAGCGUGGGGAGCAAACAGG
rnacentral:rRNA from 1 species